rnacentral:rRNA from 2 species
AAAUUGAAGAGUUUGAUCAUGGCUCAGAUUGAACGCUGGCGGCAGGCCUAACACAUGCAAGUCGAGCGGUAGCACAGAGAGCUUGCUCUCGGGUGACGAGCGGCGGACGGGUGAGUAAUGUCUGGGAAACUGCCUGAUGGAGGGGGAUAACUACUGGAAACGGUAGCUAAUACCGCAUAACGUCGCAAGACCAAAGUGGGGGACCUUCGGGCCUCAUGCCAUCAGAUGUGCCCAGAUGGGAUUAGCUAGUAGGUGGGGUAACGGCUCACCUAGGCGACGAUCCCUAGCUGGUCUGAGAGGAUGACCAGCCACACUGGAACUGAGACACGGUCCAGACUCCUACGGGAGGCAGCAGUGGGGAAUAUUGCACAAUGGGCGCAAGCCUGAUGCAGCCAUGCCGCGUGUGUGAAGAAGGCCUUCGGGUUGUAAAGCACUUUCAGCGGGGAGGAAGGCGUUAAGGUUAAUAACCUCAUCGAUUGACGUUACCCGCAGAAGAAGCACCGGCUAACUCCGUGCCAGCAGCCGCGGUAAUACGGAGGGUGCAAGCGUUAAUCGGAAUUACUGGGCGUAAAGCGCACGCAGGCGGUCUGUCAAGUCGGA